GAUGAAGAACGUAGCGAAAUGCGAUAAGUAAUGUGAAUUGCAGAAUUCAGUGAAUCAUCGAAUCUUUGAACGCACAUUGCGCCCCUUGGUAUUACGGGGGGCAUGCCUGUUCGAGCGUCAUUUCAACCCUCAAGCUCUGCUUGGUAUUGGGCACCGUCCUUUGCGGGCGCGCCUCAAAGACCUCGGCGGUGGCGUCUUGCCUCAAGCGUAGUAGAAUACACCUCGCUUCGGAGCGUAAGGCGUCGCCCGCCGGACGAACCUUCUGAACUUUUCUCAAGGUUGACCUCGGAUCAGGUAGGGAUACCCGCUGAACUUAAGCAUAUCAAUAAGCGGAGGA
rnacentral:misc_RNA from 1 species